GACGAACGCUGGCGGCGUGCCUAAUACAUGCAAGUAGAACGCAGUUGCGAACGGGUGAGUAACUCGUAGGUAACUGCUUGGUAGUGGGGGAUAACUACUGGAAACGACAGUUAAUACUGCAUACUACUAGAUGGACCUGCGUUGUAUUAGCUAGUUGGUGGGGUAACGGCCUACCAAGGCAACGGUACAUAGCCGACCUGAGAGGGUGGUCGGCCAACCUGGGACUGGGGCACGGCCCAGACUCCUACCGGGAGCAGCAGUAGGGGAACUUCGGCCAUGGGCGGAAGUCUGAACGAACAACGCCGCGUGAGUGAAGGAGGUUUUCCGGUCGUAAAGCUCUGUUGUAAGAGGAGCGGUAUCUUACCAGAAAGGGACGGCUAACUACGUGCCAGCAGCCGCGGUAAUUC
rnacentral:rRNA from 1 species